CCUACGGGUGGCAGCAGUGGGGAAUAUUGCACAAUGGGGGAAACCCUGAUGCAGCGACGCCGCGUGAGUGAAGACGUAUUUCGGUAUGUAAAGCUCUGUUAGCAGGGAAGAAAAUGACGGUACGUGACCAAGAAGCCCAGGCUAACUACGUGCCAGCAGCCGCGGUAAUACGUAGGGGGCAAGCGUUAUCCGGAUUUACUGGGUGUAAAGGGAGCGUAGACGGCAGGGCAAGUCUGGAGUGAAAGGCGGGGGCUCAACCCCCGGACUGCUCUGGAAACUGCCAGGCUGGAGUGCAGGAGAGGCAAGUGGAAUUUCUAGUGUAGCGGUGAAAUGCGUAGAUAUUAGGAGGAACACCAGUGGCGAAGGCGGCUUACUGGACUGUAACUGACGUUGAGGCUCGAAAGCGUGGGGAGCAAACAGGAUUAGAUACCCUUGUAGUC
rnacentral:rRNA from 1 species